CUUUCCUAACCGGAUGAUUAUUUAAAGCAUUAUUGUUUUUCUAAAGAAUAGUUAAUGUAUUUAAUAAACCAUUUGAAACCAUUCAUUUCAAACCUUUUCAGUGGCAGGUUUUUCCUUACUAUGAUAAUCUAUGGCAUAUAUUUUAAUACGUACACCUCGGACAGGCAAGAGUUUGACGACAGUUUGACACGACAAAGGUACCAAUAAGGAGCAGGCUAUCUUCAGAGUCAGACGAUCAGGUACGUAACCAAAGUUUCUUUCCAGGACGAAGGUACAAGGCAGGGAACAGGCAGGAGUCAGGAGUCAGAUACAGAACAUGAUCUCGAACAAGGUGUGCGUAAUGAUGACCGGAACGUGAAGCGGAAGCUAACAUGUGAUCAGAAACGGAAGGGCUUUCAGAGUAAAACCGAACAGAAACCAGAACAUGACAGAGGGAGACUAUGUUAAUAGGAAGUCAUUUCAUAGUACCAAUGUGCAGGACACUACAAUGGCUACUUGCUGGGGGACAGAGGGUUCCCUUGUCUGCCCUAUUUGCGGACACCAUACCCUUAACCUGAACCUGGACCACAGGCACGGUUCCACCAGGCUCACAGCAGAACA